rnacentral:rRNA from 1 species
UAGGGAAUCUUCCGCAAUGGGCGAAAGCCUGACGGAGCAACGCCGCGUGAGUGAUGAAGUUCUUCGGAUCGUAAAACUCUGUUCUUAGGGAAGAACAAAUGUGUAAGUAACUAUGCACGUCUUGACGGUACCUAAUCAGAAAGCUACGGCUAACUACGUGCCAGCAGCCGCGGUAAUACGUAGGUGGCAAGCGUUAUCUGGAAUUAUUGGGCGUAAAGCUCGCGUAGGCGGUUUUUUAAGUCUGUUAGGAAAGCCCACGGCUCAACCGUGGAGGGUCAUUAGAAACUGGAAAACUUGAGUGCAGAAGAGGAAAGUGGAAUUCCAUAUGUAGCAGUGAAAUGCGCAGAGAUAUGGAGGAACACCAGUGGCGAAGGCGACUUUCUGGUCUGUAAAUGACGAUGAUGUGCGAAAGCGUGGGGAUCAAACAGG